rfam:Loxodonta africana unplaced genomic scaffold scaffold_5, whole genome shotgun sequence.
AUCACUCGAUGUUCUCACCGAAAGCACGUAAUCGCCGGUGUAACUCAUGUUGGCUGGGGGGCCUCCCGGCGCACGGCGAGGAUGGGGUGCGCUCAG